AGAGUUUGAUCAUGGCUCAGGACGAACGCUGGCGGCGUGCUUAACACAUGCAAGUCGAACGGUGAACCGCCUUCGGGUGGGGAUCAGUGGCGAACGGGUGAGUAACACGUGAGCAACCUGCCCUUAGCUCUGGGAUAACUCCGGGAAACCGGGGCUAAUACCGGAUAUGAGGUCGAGCGGCAUCGCUUGGCCUGGAAAGUUUUUCGGCUAGGGAUGGGCUCGCGGCCUAUCAGCUUGUUGGUGGGGUGAUGGCCUACCAAGGCGACGACGGGUAGCCGGCCUGAGAGGGCGACCGGCCACAUUGGGACUGAGACACGGCCCAGACUCCUACGGGAGGCAGCAGUGGGGAAUAUUGCGCAAUGGGCGAAAGCCUGACGCAGCGACGCCGCGUGAGGGACGAAGGCCUUCGGGUUGUAAACCUCUUUCAGCAGGGAAGAAGCGAAAGUGACGGUACCUGCAGAAGAAGCACCGGCUAACUACGUGCCAGCAGCCGCGGUAAUACGUAGGGUGCAAGCGUUGUCCGGAAUUAUUGGGCGUAAAGAGCUCGUAGGCGGUCUGUCGCGUCUGCUGUGAAAACCCGGGGCUCAACCCCGGGCUUGCAGUGGAUACGGGCAGACUAGAGUUCGGUAGGGGAGACUGGAAUUCCU
rnacentral:rRNA from 1 species